rnacentral:rRNA from 1 species
CCUACGGGAGGCAGCAGUGAGGAAUAUUGGUCAAUGGACGCAAGUCUGAACCAGCCAUGCCGCGUGCAGGAAGACGGCUCUAUGAGUUGUAAACUGCUUUUGUACGGGGGUAAACGCAGAUACGCGUAUCUGUCUGCAAGUAUCGUACGAAUAAGGAUCGGCUAACUCCGUGCCAGCAGCCGCGGUAAUACGGAGGUUUCAAGCGUUAUCCGGAUUUAUUGGGUGUAAAGGGUGCGUAGGCGGUCGGAUAAGUUAGAGGUGAAAUCCCGAGGCUCAACUUCGGAAUUGCAUCUGAUACUGUUCGGCUAGAGAGUAGUUGAGGUAGGCGGAAUGCAUGGUGUAGCGGUGAAAUGCUUAGAGAUCAUACAGAACACCGAUUGCGAAGGCAGCUUACCAGACUACUUCUGACGUUGAGGCACGAAAGCGUGGGGAGCAAACAGGAUUAGAUACCCCUGUAGUC